rnacentral:lncRNA from 1 species
UAGAAGCACUAACCCCUUGGUGCUUCUAAGUUUCUAGCCCUUAGAUCUACUCCUUGAUUACUAAUAGUUUUUGGGUCAAACACUAUUCCACCUACCACCACCUAUCACCACCUACCACCAUCAUCUCAACCUCACAUCUCUCCAUCCAAUGGUUAAAAACUCAAAAGCACCACCUUCAUGGUGUUUUUGAGAGUAUUCUAGCUCAACUCUAUAUAUAUAUGCUACUGUCGCUGAUACUAAUUGUGGAAAGGGAGUCGCGAGCUAGAUCCCUUCCAGUCUUGUUGCUGUUCUAGAGGAGUACCAGCUACAUGUAGUUUUGAUUUUUGGGUCAUGUACAUACUAAUGUUGGAUACUCGCUGGAGCGAGUGAUGUGUAUCCUGGAGAUUAUUUAUAUUUGUUUACAGUUCUGUUAGUAGCUCUAUACUCCUAGUUGUAGUUUUGUAUGAUUACAGGUACAAUUAUAGCUAUCGCUUCGUAUAUAGAGGAAAUUCUUUUGUAUAUGGCGGGUCUGUUGGCGUGCCCGGAAAAACGUGGUAAUUCGGGACGUGACAGAUUAAGUUGGUAUCAGAGCUUAGAAUUAGAUCUUUGGGACCUAGAAACCUUAAGCUUGGCAAAUCUUAUGAAGGUAAGACGCGAGAGGCGUGAUUUAUCGCGAAAGUCAGUGAUUGAAUUAUUUAAACUCAUCCUAGAGUGGAGUGAGUGACUGAAGGAGUGUCUGUUUCGGCCAAGAAAAUUAUGU